rnacentral:lncRNA from 1 species
GAAUAACUGUGGAUGUUGACUCCUUUUCCAACUUCUAUUAGGUCACAUCUGGUUACCUUUCUUUGACUAUAUUCAUUACUUCAUCAAUCUUUUCCAACUAAUUGUUUUUAAUUCUCUUAAUGUCGUAUUAAUUAACUUAAUCUUACAUUAUUCCCUUCAUGCAGAUAUAUUUUAAUCUGAGAACCCUACGCAGGAAGAAGUUGAUGGCAAAAAUUGACUAAUUAGAAAGUCUCAAAAGAUAUUUUAAUAACACAUGCUUAUCCAUCUCAGCACAGAUAUUGGAACAAGGGACCAAUGGUUUUGAAAUACCAUUCCACGUGUAGGGCUAUGAUUUGAGGCAGCAUACAUUUUUAUAUUAGCAGAUUGCAAAUCUUGAGAAAUUUGACGUCACUUUAGGGUACAUGAGAUGUCUUGCUAUAUGGAGACAAAGAAACCAGGUUAUCUUCAAUCUUCUGAUACUGUUGUUAAUGUAAUGAAGAUCCCUCUAAUCUUUAGAUAGUGCACAAUAUGCUCGUACAGAAGCACCCACCAAAAAACUCUUAGUUGGGACACUUUAAAUCUCA